CUAAAAACUUACAAAAGUCACUGGCAAAUGCUAACAUCCCUGUUAGCGAAUCUACAAUACGUAAAACACUAAACAAGAAUGGAUUUCAUGGGAGGAUACCACAGAGGAAGCCACUGCUGUCCAAACAAAACAUUGCUGCACGUUUAUAGUUUAUAUGCACAAGACCACCUGGAUGUUCCACAGCAGUACUGGCAAAAUAUUCUGUGGACAGAUGAAACUAAAGUUGAGUUGUUGGAAGAAACACACAACACUAUGUGUGGCGAAAAAAAGGCACAGCACACCAACAUCAAAACCUCAUCCCAACUGUGAAGUAUGGUGGUGGGGGCAUCAUGGUUUGGGGCUGCUUUGCUGCGUCAGGGCCUGGACGGAUUGCUAUCAUCGAAGGAAAAAUGAAUUCCCAAGUUCAUCAAGACAUUUUGCAGGAGAACUUAAGGCCAUCUGUCUACCAGCUGAAGCUCAACAGAAGAUGGGUGUUGCAACAGGACAAUGACCCAAAGCAUAGAAGUAAAUCAACAACAGAAUGGCUUAAACAGAAGAAAAUACGCCUUCUGAAGUGGCCCAAUCAGAGUCCUGACCUCAACCCGAUUGAGAUGCUGUGGCAUGACCUCAAGAAAGCGAUUCACACCAGACAUCCCAAGAAUAUUGCUGAACUGAAACAGUUCUGUAAAGAGGAAUGGUCAAGAAUUACUCCUGACCGUUGUGCACGUCUGAUCUGCAACUACAGGAAACAUUUGGUUGAAGUUAUUGCUGCCAAAGGAGGUUCAACCAGUUAUUAAAUCCAAGGGUUCACAUACUUUUCCCACCUGCACUGAGAAUAUUUACAUGGUGUGUUCAAUAAAAAUAUCGCAACAUUUAAUUCUUUGUGUGU